GAGAGAGAAAGGGUUUCAGCGAGGAGUGCUAAUCCUGUGCGACCGGGGUUAGACUCCCCGGCUCACUCGA
rnacentral:tRNA from 1 species